rnacentral:rRNA from 1 species
CGGCGGACGGGUGAGUAACACGUGGAUAACCUACCUAUAAGACUGGGAUAACUUCGGGAAACCGGAGCUAAUACCGGAUAAUAUAUUGAACCGCAUGGUUCAAUAGUGAAAGACGGUUUUGCUGUCACUUAUAGAUGGAUCCGCGUCGCAUUAGCUAGUUGGUAAGGUAACGGCUUACCAAGGCAACGAUGCGUAGCCGACCUGAGAGGGUGAUCGGCCACACUGGAACUGAGACACGGUCCAGACUCCUACGGGAGGCAGCAGGU